UGUGCCUCUUUUGCAUUAACUGUUGUGUACGCCACACUGGCCCUAAGGGUCUUACUUGCAUUAUGUGUGGUCCUUUUGCAAGGAGUCUGGUGACUGCAUGCGAUGCCUUGAUGGCACAACUAUAUACAGUGUGGGUAUUCACUCUCCCCCACUGCCUCCCGUGUGGGAAUGUUAGCCUGUGUGUGUAUGAAAGUUGAUGAGUACGACCACCUCCUUUUGGGCCUCUGUGAA